rfam:Candidatus Altiarchaeales archaeon WOR_SM1_79 WOR1_52_54_29220, whole genome shotgun sequence.
CAAGUCUGGCUUGGGUAGAGGUUAGCCACCAGCCCAGCACCAAAUCCCACAUAUGGCUCGGCAACGGACCAUGUGAUGCUGGGAGGCGGGAGGUAUCGGGCUGCAACGCAAGUGAAUGUAUUGAGCCCCGAAAUAUUUAGUGUGUCGGUGGUCGAUACUGUGUGUUUAGUCGCAGACAACACUCUUAUAACCGCAUGUACGCAUGUCUAUAGAGCAUCCUAAUGUGGAUACAUGAAAUGGCAAGGUUAUACGAGCCCGACGGGGUCUAAGUCAG